ACACAAGUCAAUUUAGGUACGUCCAAUUCCGAUAAAAAGUUUAGCUGCUGAAUUCAACUCGGCUGGGCAGUGUUC